UAGGGAAUCUUCCACAAUGGGCGCGAGCCUGAUGGAGCAACACCGCGUGAGUGAAGAAGGGUUUCGGCUCGUAAAGCUCUGUUGUUAAAGAAGAACACGUAUGAGAGUAACUGUUCAUACGUUGACGGUAUUUAACCAGAAAGUCACGGCUAACUACGUGCCA
rnacentral:rRNA from 1 species